CCUACGGGUGGCUGCAGUGAGGAAUAUUGGUCAAUGGUCGGGAGACUGAACCAGCCAAGCCGCGUGAGGGAUGAAGGUACAGAGUAUCGUAAACCUCUUUUGUCAGGGAACAAAGGCGGGGACGUGUCCACGGAUGAGUGUACCUGAAGAAAAAGCAUCGGCUAACGCGGUGCAAGCAGCCGCGGUAAUACGGAGGAUGCGAUCGUUAUGCGGAUUGUUUGGGUUAAAAGGGGGUGCAGGCGGUCUGUUAAGUCAGCGGUCAAAGCCCGGGGCACAACCCGGGCCCGCCGUUGAAACUGGUAGUCUCGAGUUGGAGAGAGGUAUGCGGAAUGCGCGGUGUAGCGGUGAAAUGCGUAGAUAUCGGGCAGAACUCCGAUUGCGAAGGCAGCAUGCCGGCUCCACACUGACGCUGAGGCACGAAAGCGUGGGUAGCGAACAGGAUUAGAUACCCGUGUAGUC
rnacentral:rRNA from 1 species